rnacentral:rRNA from 1 species
AUUGAACGCUGGCGGCAGGCCUAACACAUGCAAGUCGAGCGGAUGAAGGGAGCUUGCUCCUGGAUUCAGCGGCGGACGGGUGAGUAAUGCCUAGGAAUCUGCCUGGUAGUGGGGGAUAACGUCCGUAAACGGGCGCUAAUACCGCAUACGUCCUGAGGGAGAAAGUGGGGGAUCUUCGGACCUCACGCUAUCAGAUGAGCCUAGGUCGGAUUAGCUAGUUGGUGGGGUAAAGGCCUACCAAGGCGACGAUCCGUAACUGGUCUGAGAGGAUGAUCAGUCACACUGGAACUGAGACACGGUCCAGACUCCUACGGGAGGCAGCAGUGGGGAAUAUUGGACAAUGGGCGAAAGCCUGAUGCAGCAAUGCCGCGUGUGUGAAGAAGGUCUUCGGAUUGUAAAGCACUUUAAGUUGGGAGGAAGGGAAGUAAGUUAAUACCUUGCUGUUUUGACGUUACCAACAGAAUAAGCACCGGCUAACUUCGUG